rnacentral:lncRNA from 1 species
UCCAGAAAAACAACAAAACCCCGUGAAGGGGCGACAACGCUGCAGAGCACACACCGGGUCGCUGUCUUUGUGGAGGAGGCGCAGGAAAGCGGCAGUUCCGCCGGUGGGCGGCUCCUGAGGGGCACCGCAGCCGGCGGGCGGAGGGGGGCGGCGUCCGGGCGGGGCGGCCGGUUGGGGCGGGGGACGGAGCACUUCCGUGAGCCGCUUCGCUUGGAGGACCCGGGAGAUGUGUCCUUGGCGGUGCCCGACUUAAAGGAGGUGUGGGGGCGCUGGGUAUCCUCGCGGCAUCUAGCCCGCGGCGGCCGCCGGGGGUUCUGUGCUGUAGGGAAGACCGCGCGCGUGUUCCGAUCCCUAAAAAGUCCGAGGCUGCGGCGGAUAGUCACAGAGCGGUCCCCAGCCGGCGCCGCGUCCUUACUGCGCACGCGCGACGCCGCCGGAGCCCGCGGGGACCCCCUCGGAGACCCCCUCGGAGACCCCCUCGGGGGUGUGGCGCCACUAGGAAGGGUUUGUCGCUGUUUUGCGCGUGCGCGCGCCCGAGCGCCGGAGCUGCAUGAGGUCUGGGGCCGGGCGUGUCUCAUCGGCUGGUGGCGGCGCCAGGGCCCCUGGUCGUGCUCUGGAGAUGCGGCGGUGGCCCGGGAGGCGGCAGGACGGCCAGGACAGGCGCGAGGGCCCUGGGAACAGCCCGGCAGUGCCUCCAGGGGAUUGCAUUCAGCCGCUGGCUCUUCUGGGGAAGACAGACAUCAUUUUCUCAGUGGCUAUGUUCAAAACCACCCAAAGGAACUGGUGAGCCAAAGGAAUGCUGGACCUGGAGCAGAUGGAGGCAAGAGAGGGGAAAGCAGAGAGACUUUGCCUGGUAGAGACAGAUACAGAAGGCCCCCCCAUCAUCACAGGCAGGUCCACUAUCUUCACGGUCUACCUGCACCCACUGAAGCUGGAUGA